rnacentral:lncRNA from 1 species
CAGAACCCAGUGCCUCACACAUGCUAGACAAGUGUUCUACCACUGAGCCACAAUCCCGCCCCCCCCCCACCUCUUUUUUUAAUCACAGCUACCUCACUUUCACUACCAGAACUCUAAAGUCUCCUUCCCCUGCCCUACUUUGUCUUUUUCAUAGAACUUUUACCAUUGUGUAUACCGUGUUAAUUUACACAUAUACACAUAUAGAUUGAUAGUCCACUGCUUAUCACCUCCCAGCAGAAUAUUAGCUUCACAAGGGUAGGAAUCUGUUUUAUUUGUUAAUGUGUCCAAAGCCAGGCACUUAAAUACUGGAUAAAUAAGCAAGUGACUCUCCCUUCAACCAUUUUUAUUAAUUCCCUUGAAUCCUCCAACCCUUACGGUUUACCUUAGAGGAAGGAAGGCAGAAGGAGAGAAGGAGGGAUAAAAGAGCUAGCAUUCAAGGCUAAAGCUGGACAUACCUGUAACAGGAGGCUGAGGCAGGAAGGUCACAAGUUUGAAGCCAGCAUGAAUAAUUUAGAGCCUAUCUGAUUUUUUUUUUUUCAAGUGCUGGGAAUGUUGCUCAGUGGCAGAGUACUUGCCUAGCAUGUGUGAGAUCCUACAUUCGAUCCCUAGUAUAGGGGAGGGAAAAAAAGGCAUCAUUACAUUCAAACAUAACAAUAAUCAUACUCUUUAUUUAUUUUGGUACUGAAGUUUGAACCCAGGGGUGCUUAACCACUAAGCUACAUCUCCAGUUCUUUUCAUUUUUUAUUGUGAUACAGGGUCUUGCUAAGUUGCUGAGAACCUCGCUAAAUUAUAGAGGCUGGCCUGGAAAUUCCAAUCCUCCUGCCUAGAUACUCAACUAUUUUAAAUUCAUAUUAAGUUAACCUAUUUAGAGACAAAGACUUUAUAAGCAAAAACUAUAUUUUUGUAAGAGAUUUUCCUAAAAACAGAAUGGUACAGAAUAAAAGAUACAGAGAAAAACUCACACAGAAACAGUCAUACAAUCCUUGACAAAGUGCCAAAAAUAUACAGUGGAGAAAAGAUAGCCCCUUUAACAAACGAUACUGGGGAAACCAGAUAUCCAUAUAAAUAAGAAUGAAACUAGAUCCAUAUCUCUCACCCUAUAACAUCAACUCAAAAUGAAUCGAAGAUCUAGGUAUAAUAUCAGAAAUUUUGCAACUAUAAGAAGACACAGGGGAAACCCUUCAACACAUAGGCACAGGCAAGAGCUUCCUGAAUAGGACUCUAAUAGCUCAGGAAAUAAUAGCAAGAAUUGCCCAAUGGAAUGACAUCAAAUUAAAAAGCUUCUGUGCAGCAAAGGAAACAACAG